AUUGAACGCUGGCGGCAGGCCUAACACAUGCAAGUCGAGCGGAUGAAGGGAGCUUGCUCCUGGAUUCAGCGGCGGACGGGUGAGCAAUGCCUAGGAAUCUGCCUGGUAGUGGGGGAUAACGUCCGGAAACGGGCGCUAAUACCGCAUACGUCCUGAGGGAGAAAGUGGGGGAUCUUCGGACCUCACGCUAUCAGAUGAGCCUAGGUCGGAUUAGCUAGUUGGUGGGGUAAAGGCCUACCAAGGCGACGAUCCGUAACUGGUCUGAGAGGAUGAUCAGUCACACUGGAACUGAGACACGGUCCAGACUCCUACGGGAGGCAGCAGUGGGGAAUAUUGGACAAUGGGCGAAAGCCUGAUCCAGCCAUGCCGCGUGUGUGAAGAAGGUCUUCGGAUUGUAAAGCACUUUAAGUUGGGAGGAAGGGCAGUAAGUUAAUACCUUGCUGUUUUGACGUUACCAACAGAAUAAGCACCGGCUAACUUCGU
rnacentral:rRNA from 1 species